GACGAACGCUGGCGGCGUGCUUAACACAUGCAAGUCGAACGGUGAAGCGCCUUCCUUUUUGGUGGGUGUGGAUGAGUGGCGAACGGGUGAGUAACACGUGAGUAACCUGCCCCCUUCUUCUGGAUAACCGCAUGAAAGUGUGGCUAAUACGGGAUAUUCUGGGUCUGUCGCAUGAUGGGUCUGGGAAAGAUAUUGUUUCGGUGGGGGAUGGGCUCGCGGCCUAUCAGCUUGUAGGUGGGGUGAUGGCCUACCAAGGCGGUGACGGGUAGCCGGCCUGAGAGGGUGGACGGUCACACUGGGACUGAGACACGGCCCCGACUCCUACGGGAGGCAGCAGUGGGGAAUAUUGCACAAUGGGCGCAAGCCUGAUGCAGCGACGCCGCGUGAGGGAUGGAGGCCUUCGGGUUGUGAACCUCUUUCGCCAGUGAAGCAGGCCUGCCUCGUUUGUGGGUGGGUUGACGGUAGCUGGAUAAGAAGCGCCGGCUAACUACGUG
rnacentral:rRNA from 1 species